AGCGGCUGUCAGUCACCAUCGUUGACAUCCCGCGACUGAGGGGGCAGCUGCCGAAAGGCCUCGAGCGCCUUACUGUCAGAGGUGGUGGUAUCAGGGGGAAUCCAAACACGAUCAUCCUUCGGGCUGGAGUUCCUCUCAGCGAGCUGACGGAGCUGCGGGGCUCACGGAAGACUGUGAAGCGGCUGUCAGUCACCGCCGCCGACCUCCCGCGACUGAGUGGGCAGCUGCUACCGAAGGGCCUCGUAUACCUCAAUGUCAGAGGGCCGGAGGUGACGGAGCCGAGGUGGCCGGAAGUGACGGAGCCGAGGCGGCCGGAGGUGACGAAGCCAAGGUGGCCGGGAUGGUACUGGGGUCUGUCAGUGUCCCUCCAGGGGGUGGCUGCCGACACCAUCAGUCACCUGGCUGACCUGGGACGGACGGUCACACUACUGGAGA